rnacentral:rRNA from 1 species
CAGCAGCCGCGGUAAUACGUAGGGUGCGAGCGUUAAUCGGAAUUACUGGGCGUAAAGCGUGCGCAGGCGGUUAUAUAAGACAGUUGUGAAAUCCCCGGGCUCAACCUGGGAACUGCAUCUGUGACUGUAUAGCUAGAGUACGGUAGAGGGGGAUGGAAUUCCGCGUGUAGCAGUGAAAUGCGUAGAUAUGCGGAGGAACACCGAUGGCGAAGGCAAUCCCCUGGGCCUGUACUGACGCUCAUGCACGAAAGCGUGGGGAGCAAACAGGAUUAGAUACCCGAGUAGUCCCUGUCUCUUAUAC